GGAGUCCAAUGCAGAGGAAAAAUUCAAGGCGAUCACUACUGCGUACGAGAUAAGAAUUUGCAUUUCUUUCAAUUCCAUGAAGAUCAUUCCCAUGUAGGUGCUCUCGGAUGAUGAAAACCAAGCCAUCAAGAGGAGGGCCAACUUCCACGGAUAGUCCAUUCAUAUUUUUGACUCGUUUUUAAAAGACCGAGCAGAUUUGAAAGGCGCAGAUUGAUCUGGAGUUCAAGAAAACGAUCUCAGGAGCCUUGACUGACCUCAAAGAAGCGGUUUUUGGAGUGGAAAAACAGUUUGACAUAUGGCAUGUGGAAAGCUGCGAGGCAUAUAACGGAACUAGCGCCAGAAGCAAGAGCACAAAGAGAUAUCGAGUCUGUGGAGGAAUGGGUGAAGUUAUGCGGACACAAGAAACAGACUUCGGGAUGUUCUCACAGGUGAGGGACAAGUGGAGUGUUCCGUGUCAGUGCGCAUGUUGCCGGUGGACUCGCUUGUUCUAUGUAGUUUCUCUGUGACUGACAUUGUGCU